GAAAGGUUUAAUAAGAUACUGCUAAUCUCUUAAUACCAAAGUUCAAUACUUUGGCAGGUUCG
rnacentral:tRNA from 1 species